rnacentral:lncRNA from 14 species
AACUAGCAAAGCAGGAAUUCAAUUAGAAAUAUCCCAAGUCCUUAAUUUUAAUCACAAAGAAUGAGUAUUCUAGCAUCUACCCACCAAGGAAUAGUCAGCUUUUGCCUGUUAAAGGAGGAUCAAAUAAGCUGUCCUGGAGGACACUCACACUUAAAAGCCUGCUCAACUUGAUAGAUCUUCAUCUGGAAUCUUCUUUUCUUUUAAGGCUUUUACAUUGCCCUUUUUCUUUCUAGGAUCUUCACAAUCAUGAGACCUCGCUUGCCACGUUCUUCACGGAAGAACCUUCUCUACCUCGCUUCCAUUUACACAGAAGGAGGUGGGCCUUUGUCCAGCCCGGGCCUCUCUUCAGACAGCAGCGAGCAGCCAAUUUACACUAUAGAGAGCUUACAGUGGAAGACCAGGCAAGAAAAUCAGGUUAAAAAUCCAGGUCAGACUGCAGAGAAACAAGAUGAUGUGCUGGAGAGAGACAACAGUGUAGAGGAGGUGGAGGAGGAGGAAGAAGAGAUGGUAACUGAAACAAAUCCUUUGGAAGGACUUGCUCAUUCUGGUAACAUGGCAGCUAUUGCUGAGAAAAGGGCAGCACUGCAAGGGUCUGCUUGGCAGAUCACUGCAGCUCUGCAGAACUGAAUGUUCCUGUGCCAGGAGGAUUGUUGUGGACCCAGAGUGACUUCCAUAAAAUCAAAAGUGGCCUUCAGCUCUUCUGAGACACAUGCUCUGUGGCUUCCAGGAUUGCACAAGACAAGGGGCACGGGAGGACUGGUGACAGUGAUGGGGAAACAGCCAUUCCAAGAUGGGUGGUUUUGGUGAAGAUUUACUGAUAUUUACUGUGUAAACUCAGUGUCUUCUGAAGAAGGUGUUUUAAGUUCCAUGUGUGGUAACCAUUGUGUUGCUUAACCACUGUCCUGAACCGUUAGCUCUAGUUGGUGUUUGCCAGACACAGUCAGAGUUCUUCAGAAUCCCUCAGUGUUCCCUAAUGUUCUUCAUGGUUAAUAAAUGCAGUCACCUGAAGGCGAAAGUUCCUGCU